rnacentral:rRNA from 1 species
GACGAACGCUGGCGGCGUGCUUAACACAUGCAAGUCGAACGGAAAGGCCCUGCUUGCAGGGUACUCGAGUGGCGAACGGGUGAGUAACACGUGGGUGAUCUGCCCUGCACUUCGGGAUAAGCCUGGGAAACUGGGUCUAAUACCGGAUAGGAGCCAUUUUUAGUGUGAUGGUUGGAAAGUUUUUUCGGUGUAGGAUGAGCUCGCGGCCUAUCAGCUUGUUGGUGGGGUAAUGGCCUACCAAGGCGGCGACGGGUAGCCGGCCUGAGAGGGUGGACGGCCACAUUGGGACUGAGAGACGGCCCAGACUCCUACGGGAGGCAGCAGGGGGGAAUAUUGCACAAUGGGCGCAAGCCUGAUGCAGCGACGCCGCGGGGGGGAGGACGGCCUUCGGGUUGUAAACGCCUUUCGCUAGGGACGAAGCUUUUUGUGACGGUACCUAGAUAAGAAGCACCGGCUAACUACGUG